AGGGGAUAAAUAAUAAUGAUGAUAGGGUAAUAAAUGUAAGGUGAUAAGAAGUGUGAGGAAUAUAGAUGGGAUUAGUGACGACGGUAGUAAAGAGUGGUUGUCAGACCUAGUUAGUAGGAUAUUUCAUCAUGACGAAUCAUGGAAAAUAAGAGAGAGUCGACCCAAUUGAUUGGACCAUAGUAAGAAGUAGGAGGGGCGCUCUUGACAAGCAUCAUGUUUUCUUUUGUAUAAGCAGCCGUUUAUGUGUAUUUUGAGAGAUUAGUUGUGAGUGCUUGCUUGUGUUAGAAUACAAUGGCAAUUGACAAGACUAAGAGGUAGUUGAAUAGGGAGAGAAACAACGCAAUGUAAGGCGCAAGGAUGAGUUGCCAUCACUAGGGUGUAUUAUUCUGACUAAUAUGGAG
rnacentral:lncRNA from 1 species